CCAAUUGUGUGGGAUCCAGACAAGGCAACCAUCGAUUAAAGUAGGUUUCAGAGAUUAUUGGGGAAUGAAAAGAGAAGGGUCCGGUGAAAAGUUGAUGACGAUGGCGGAGAGCGACGGUGAAUAUGGUUGCUUCACCCCUAGUCGCGGAGAGUGCAGAAUACCAGAGCCGAAGGUGUGCCCGCCACCACCAAAGAAGAAGCCAUAUAUAGCAGUUGGAAAGAAGAAGAAGGAGCCACCCAAGAAUGGCUACUUUCAACCUCCUGACCUUGAGCUCCUUUUCUCCAUGGGUUCAAGGCGUCAAGCUUGCGCCUGACAGAUGACUGCAACGUCCGCUUGGCGAGUUGGGUCAUUUUUGUUUCUUUGAUAGAUAGCGUUAUUGGCUGCUGGGUCAUGUUAAAGAAGAAGAAGAGAAAGGCUGAGCCGUGACUGUGUGAGUGUAUAUAAAUUAGAAAAUUAAUGUAAAUUUAUGACUUAAAGUUAUGUUUUUAGCUGACUUUUUUUGGUGUUAAAGGAAGUAUCAAGUUGGUAGAAUAUUGUUUGAUUUUGGUGGUACCCAAAUGGACUAAUCAAAGCAAUAUGUUUAUGUUUAAGUUUUGAAUUUGUUUGGCAUUCUGAUUCUCUGCACUGUGUUUAUGUUUAUGUUCAAGUAUUUUAUAUUGUUUCGGAUGGAUUAAUUUUGAUGGUGCCUUUUCCUUUCCUUAAUUUUGUACAAAUUCAGUAUUUCUUUUAAAGGAAAAAAGUUUGUAUAUUAUAUGCGGAGGAAUUAUACAGUGUACAUGCAUAAUUAUGUGAAAUUUAUCAGAGAAUUCAUAUUUUUAUGAGAAAAAUGUGCAGGCCGAAUGGUAAGAGAUAUGGUGUGAGGUGAUUGAUCUUAAGUCGCAAACUCAUUGUAUGUGAGAAAUGCCCAUUCCCUGACUUCAUGUUGAUCUUCAAAUGCCGAGUGCAGACCACCACUUCAAAUAAAUAAACAAAACGGCUACGAAAAGAUGCCCAAGAAAAUUCUCAUUUUCAUGGCCACUCUACUAGGCAACAUUUUGCUCAAUUUAUCACAAAUUCCAUUGAAAUCAGUACUCCACACUCCACCUCUCCCCUUCAUUUAUCUUAAAUUUAACACAUUUUAUCCUCAUAAUAUCCUUUUUAUUGUGUAUGAACAUAAUUAAUGAUUUAUUUUAAUAAUUAUAAUUUGUAUAAGCCCAAUAAUCCUAUUAAUAUGUCAAAUUUAUUAUUAUUGUUAUUGUUUCAUAUGAUUUUCAGGUGUGACAAUCAAGUUAAGUCAUUAUUUUUUGUUUAUUUUAAAACUCUAAUAAUGCUUAAAUUAAAAUGUCUAUUAGUUUAACAACUUACAAUUAAAGAAUAGUCAGAAUUCAAUAACCAAAUUAAGACUAUUGUCUAAAAAAUAUAUAGAUCUCACUUAUUAUGAGCAUAAAACAUGGAACAACAGCAUGAGAAACACAUUACUUGAGCAUCAUGCUACUCUUUAUAAUAACUAGUAAUUAAAUAAUUGAUUGUUCAUAAAGAGAAAACACAAAAAAAA
rnacentral:misc_RNA from 1 species